rnacentral:rRNA from 1 species
AACGAACGCUGGCGGCAUGCCUAACACAUGCAAGUCGAACGACACCUUCGGGACUACUGGCGCACACGUGCGUAACGCGUGGGAACCUGCCCUUAGGUUCGGAAUAACUCCCCUUCAGGGGUGCUAAUACCGGGUAAUGUACUCGAACAACAGAUUUAUCGAACUUGUAUGGGCCCGCGUUGGUUUGGCUUGGUGCUAGGGUAAAAGCCUACCAAGGCGUCGAUCCAUAGCUGGUCUGAGAGGCUGAUCAGCGACACUGGGUCGGGGACACGGCCCAGACUAUUACGGGAGGGGGGAGUGGGGAAUAUUGGACAAUGGGGUAGAGGAAGAUGCAGCUAGGCUGGGUGAGUGAUUAAGUCCGGAGGGUAGUAAAGCUCGUUUACCCGGGGUGAUAAUGACAGUACCGGGAGAAUAAGCUCCGGCUAACUCCGUG